UUUAAGUGCAGUUGCAGGUUUCCAUAUUCAACGUGACCUUCCGUCUUACUUGAAAUAUUUUUGUGAUUAGUAUUUCUAUUGUUAUUAGAUGAUAAAACAUAAAUAAUACUUUAUGCAUAACUUAUUUUUAAUUUUUUUCAUAAAUUUUUUAAAUAAGAUGGACAGUCAAAUAUUCAACACUUAAAAUGGGAUGGAAAAAGU
rfam:Oryza meridionalis cultivar OR44 (W2112) chromosome 6, whole genome shotgun sequence.